UAAGGAAUAUUGGUCAAUGGAGGCAACUCUGAACCAGCCAUGCCGCGUGCAGGAAGAAGGCCCUAUGGGUCGUAAACUGCUUUUAUACUGGAGAAAACCCAGGUACGUGUACCUGGUUGAUAGUACAGUAAGAAUAAGGAUCGGCUAACUUCGUGCCAGCAGCCGCGGUAAGACGAAGGAUCCAAGCGUUAUCCGGAUUCAUUGGGUUUAAAGGGUGCGUAGGCGGGUUUAUAAGUCAGUGGUGAAAGCCGAUCGCUUAACGAUCGAACUGCCAUUGAUACUGUAGACCUAGAGUAUAGAUGAUGUUGGCGGAAUAUGACAUGUAGCGGUGAAAUGCAUAGAUAUGUCAUAGAACACCGAUUGCGAAGGCAGCUGACAAAACUAUAACUGACGCUGAUGCACGAAAGUGCGGGGAUCAAACAGGAUUAGAUACCCGCGUAGUCC
rnacentral:rRNA from 1 species